UACGGGGGGGGCAAGCGUUGUUCGGAAUUACUGGGCGUAAAGGGCGCGUAGGCGGUUGGAUAAGUCAGCUGUGAAAACCACGAGCUUAACUCGUGGCCUGCAGUUGAGACUGUCUGGCUUGAGUGUGGGAGAGGAGAGUGGAAUUCCUGGUGUAGCGGUGAAAUGCGUAGAUAUCAGGAGGAACACCGGUGGCGAAGGCGGCUCUCUGGACCACAACUGACGCUGAGGCGCGAAAGCUAGGGGAGCAAAUGGG
rnacentral:rRNA from 1 species